rnacentral:rRNA from 1 species
GACGAACGCUGGCGGCGUGCUUAACACAUGCAAGUCGAACGGAAAGGCCCUGCUUUUGUGGGGUGCUCGAGUGGCGAACGGGUGAGUAACACGUGAGUAACCUGCCCUUGACUUUGGGAUAACUUCAGGAAACUGGGGCUAAUACCGGAUAGGAGCUCCUGAUGCAUGGUGGGGGUUGGAAAGUUUCGGCGGUUGGGGAUGGACUCGCGGCUUAUCAGCUUGUUGGUGGGGUAGUGGCUUACCAAGGCUUUGACGGGUAGCCGGCCUGAGAGGGUGACCGGCGACAAGGGGACUGAGAUAGGGAGCAGACGCCUACGGUAGGCAGCAGUGGGGAAUAUUGCACAAUGGGCGGAAGCCUGAUGCAGCAACGCCGCGUGCGGGAUGACGGCCUUCGGGUUGUAAACCGCUUUCGCCUGUGACGAAGCGUGAGUGACGGUAAUGGGUAAAGAAGCACCGGCUAACUACGUG